AUAAUACUAACGGCGUAAAGCACGACCAAUAAUUAGUUAAAACACUAGGAACGAAGAUAAACUAGGCCGUAAAAAGCCAUAAGCCACACUAACCAAACCCUAACACCAAACAACUACCACUCGUGAAAGUUAGGACACAAACUAAGAUUAGAUACCUUACUAUGCCCAACUAUAACACAACAAUUAAAUAACCCAUUGUUCGCCAAAUAACUACGAGUAAAAACUUAAAAUUUAAAAGACUUGACGGUGCCUCAAACCAACCUAGAGGAGCCUGUCUAAUAACCGAUACCCCACGAUAAACCCGACCCACUCUAGCCUACAGUCUAUAUACCGCCGUCGCCAGCCUACCUUGUGAAAGAAACAAAGUGAGCCUAAUAGCCCCCACUAAUACGACAGGUCGAGGUGUAACUUAUGGGUGGGAACAAGAUGGGCUACAUUUUCCAACACAGAAAAUACGAAUUAAUCUAUGAAAUAAGAAACUGAAGGCGGAUUUAGCAGUAUGCUGAGAACAAUAUGCCCAGCUGAAACCAACGCAAUGAGGUGCGUACACACCGCCCGUCAUCCCUGUUAAUCAACUAAAAACCAUACAUAAA
rnacentral:rRNA from 1 species